CCUAGUUGAUCCUACCAAUAGUCAUAUACUUGUCUCAAAUAUUAAGCUAUGCAUGUCUAAGUAUGAACUAAUUCAGACUGUGAAACUACAGAUGGCUCAUUAAAUCAGCUAUAGUUCCUUUGAUGGUACCCUACUACUCGGAUAAUAGUAGUAAUUCUAGAGCUAAUACAUGCACCAAGUCAUGACUCUUUGGAAGGGAUGCAUUUAUUAGAUAAAAGGUCGACGUGGGCUUGCGUACUUCUCUGGUGAAUCAUGAUAACUCGAUGGAUCGCACAACCCUUGUGUUAGCGAUGCUUCAUUCAAAAUUUUGUCCUACCAACUUUCAGAUUCUAGGAUAGAAUCCUACCAUGGUGGUGAUGGGUGAUGGAGAAUUAGGUUUCGAUUCCAGAGAGGGAGCCUAAGAAACAACUACCACAUCUAAGGAAGGAAACAUACGUGCAAAUUACCCAAUCCUAACAUGGGGAGGUAGUGACGAUAAAUAAAAAUACUAGCCUCAUCGAGUCUAGUAAUUGGAAUAAGUACAAUAUAAAUCCAUUAACAAGGAUCCAUUGGAGGGAAAUUAUGGCGCUGGAAUCCAUGGUAAUUAUAGCUCCAAUAGUGUAUAUUUAAUUUGUUGCAAUUAAAAAGAUCAUAGUUGUAUAUUCUGUUGUAAAGGUCGGUCUGCCUACUCGGUGUGCACCUGCCCUUCUGUCCCUUUUUUGGUCGGCAUUAUCCUAGCCUUAAUUGGUUAGGUCGCAUUUUUGGCACUGUUACUUUGAAAAAAAUAUAGUGCUUAAAGAAACCUUAUGCUCUGAAUACAUUAGCAUGGAAUAAAGUCAUAGGAUUCUAGUCCUAUUAUGUUGGCCUUCAAGGCUAGAGUAACGAUUAAUAGGGAUUGUCGGGGGCAUUUGUAUUUCAUUGUCAGAGGUUAAAUUAUUAGAUUUAUGAAAGACAAACCACUUCAAAAGAAUUUUCCAAUGAUGUGUUCAUUUAUUAAGAAUGGAAUUUGGGGGCUCGAAGAUGAUAAGAUAUCGUCCUAGUCUCAACCAUAAACAAUUUCAACCAAGGAUGGACUAAUGUUGCUCUAAGGACUCUAUGAGCAUCUUCUCAGGAAUCAGAGUGUUUGUGUUAUGGGGAGAGUAUGGUCGCAAGGAUGAAACUUAAAGGAAUUGAUGAAAGGGAACCACCAGGAGUGUAGCCUAUGGCUGAAUUUGACUCAACACAAGAAAACUUACCAUAUCCAUACAUAGUAAGGAUUGACAGAUUGAGAGCUCUUUCUUGAUUCUAUGGGUGGAGGUGCAUGGUUUUUGUUAGUUGGUGGAUCUAUUUGUGUGGUUAAUUCUAAUAUAAAAUGAGACAUCGUCCUACUAACUAGAUAUGUGGAGGCUCCCCUUUGUAGCCAACUUCUUAGAGGGACUAUGGGCAUUUAGGUCAUGGAAUUUUGAGGCAAUAAUAGGUCUUUGAUGCCAUUAGAUGUUCUAGUCUGCAAGUGUGCUACACUGAUGCAGUCAGUGUGUUUGUCUCCCUGGUUCAAGAGGACUGGGAAAUAUUCUCAAAUUUCAUCAUGAUGGGGAUAGACCAUUGCAAUUUUUGGUAUUCAAUGAGGAAUUCCUAGUAAGUGUGUGUCAUCACCUCAUGUUGACUACAUCCCUUCCCUUUGUACACACCGCCCAUCACUCCUACCAAUUUAAUGAUCUGAUGAAUUGUUUGACUCAUGUCAACGAGGGUGGUUUGUCAUCAACGAAGUCAUGAGAAUUUCAUUGAACCUUAUCAUUUAGAGGAAGGUGAGCAUAAGAAGGAUGAAUAUGUAGAGU
rnacentral:rRNA from 1 species